AAAUGUUGCAGCAGUUUACGUUCAAAAGUCGUAUAAAAUGCACGCAAGCAAUUUAUACGACUUUUGAACGUAAACUGCUGCAACAUUUUGGGAAA
rnacentral:miRNA from 1 species